GGCAUUCAGAUUUAAACAAAAUGAAGCUAAUUGAGUGGCCGUAGAUGGCGCACAGCAUGUUUACGCGUGUCAUUUUACAAGUGAGAGUGAGCGAUGAGUGUCUGCAUGGCAUUGCUGUUGACUUGUAUUGCUGUACUAUUGCAUAAUUUGAAUCUGCUGUUGGUGUAUUGUGAACUUGUAGGUACCCGGGUAACACCACUCAGAAUCCUACAAAAAGGAAGCAAGAGGAGAUUCUGAAAAUUACAAUGAGCUCGCGGAAAACUGGAUUAUGGAUUAUGCCGCAGUCGUCGAUUGACUCUGCCGGAAAGUUUAUGUGUGUGCCAGUUCGUUGAUUACAUGGUGGUCACCGUCGCUUCCUUGAAGUCUCUACACUUAUUCUGUAUCCAGAAGUGUGCCAUGUCGGUGUGCAUUUAAAAGUUGGUCUGGUAAUGGAGCUCCGUGAUCUGUAUUUUGUAGAAACCAGCUCCACAUGUCAUUUUCUACAGCCAUAAGUCCAAUUUUUGAGAAGUGUGCCUGAGUUUUGCAGUUGGACUAUCAAGCAAUGCUGUUUCAGGGAGAAGAGAGACUUUCAGAAGCAUACCACUAAUGCUUGAUAGAAUAUUGUACCUUGCUAAAAAAAUUACAUAGAGAUAUUAAGCUAUCACUACUUUAAUAGCACUCCUAUGGGACAUCUCAAUUAAUAAAUGUACAUUUCUUGAUGUGAAAGACAACUAAAUUAAUUUAGCUCUGCCUUUUCACAUAGAACACAUCAACAUAUGUAUCUAUUUACCAUGGCAUUAUUCUGUGAGUAUUUUUUUUAAUCAUUAAACUGUACUUUUUUUAAA